GACGAACGCUGGCGGCGUGCUUAACACAUGCAAGUCGAACGGAAAGGCCUGCUUUCCCUUGUGGAUUGCGGGUGCUCGAGUGGCGAACGGGUGAGUAACACGUGAGUGAUCUGCCCCCAACUUGGGUAUAAGCCUGGGAAACUGGGUCUAAUUCCCGAUAGGACUGCAGGGUGGUGCCUGUGGUGGAAAACGAUUUUCUAGUGGUUGGGGAUGAGCUCGCGGCCUAUCAGCUUGUUGGUGGGGUAAUGGCCUACCAAGGCGGCGACGGGUAGCCGGCCUGGGAGGGUGGACGGCCACAUUGGGACUGAGAUACGGCCCAGACUCCUACGGGAGGCAGCAGUGGGGAAUAUUGCACAAUGGGCGGAAGCCUGAUGCAGCGACGCCGCGUGGGGGAUGACGGCCUUCGGGUGGUAAACUCCUUUCGACCGCGAGGAAGCCACCUGGUUGGAAGGGUGGUGACGGUAGUGGUAGAAGAAGCACCGGCUAACUACGUG
rnacentral:rRNA from 1 species